GUUAAUUCUUACAGAUCUUA
rnacentral:tRNA from 1 species